GAUGAACGCUGGCGGCGUGCCUAAUACAUGCAAGUCGAGCGAACAGAUAAGGAGCUUGCUCCCUUGACGUUAGCGGCGGACGGGUGAGUAACACGUGGGUAACCUACCUAUAAGACUGGGAUAACUUCGGGAAACCGGAGCUAAUACCGGAUAACAUUUGGAACCGCAUGGUUCUAAAGUGAAAGAUGGUUUUGCUAUCACUUAUAGAUGGACCCGCGCCGUAUUAGCUAGUUGGUAAGGUACGGCUUACCAAGGCAACGAUAAGUAGCCGACCUGAGAGGGUGAUCGGCCACACUGGAACUGAGACACGGUCCAGACUCCUACGGGAGGCAGCAGUAGGGAAUCUUCCGCAAUGGGCGAAAGCCUGACGGAGCAACGCCGCGUGAGUGAUGAAGGGUUUCGGCUCGUAAAACUCUGUUAUUAGGGAAGAACAAACGUGUAAGUAACUGUGCACGUCUUGACGGUACCUAAUCAGAAAGCCACGGCUAACUACGUG
rnacentral:rRNA from 1 species